UACGUAGGGGGCUAGCGUUAUCCGGAAUUACUGGGUGUAAAGGGAGCGUAGACGGUAAUGUAAGUCUGGAGUGAAAGGCGGGGGCCCAACCCCCGGACUGCUCUGGAAACUAUGUUACUAGAGUGCAGGAGAGGUAAGCGGAAUUCCUAGUGUAGCGGUGAAAUGCGUAGAUAUUAGGAGGAACACCAGUGGCGAAGGCGGCUUACUGGACUGUAACUGACGUUGAGGCUCGAAAGCGUGGGGAGCAAACAGG
rnacentral:rRNA from 1 species